UUUCUCUCUCGGAUCUUUUUGCGGUCUGGGCUUGCUGUUCCUCCAAUAAGUAGCCAGGAAGCCCUUACCCCAAAAAGUAUUUGCGAGGGAUC
rfam:Ophiophagus hannah scaffold5630.1, whole genome shotgun sequence.